CAAUACAACAAACCUUAAAAUCAACACAAAAUUAUUUAAGUAAUAAAAGAAAAGACAAUUUUUUUUUUAAAAAAAAUGAGGCUAGAGCUCAUGAUCAUAGAUUAUUAUUACAAAAUACUACAAAGAAAGACACAAAAUACAUAAGAGAAACUAAAUGCAAAGGAUCAAGGCAACAAUUUAAGGAGAAAGAAAGAAACAGCAAGACCCACAAGUCCCAUGAACUUGGAUGGGAAAGAAGUGAGAGAACUUGCAUUAGUGGCGGGAGAAGGAGCAGGAGUAGUAGGAGCAGGAGUAGAAGGAGUUGAAGGAGGAGGAGGAGGAAGAGUGGUGGGUGGAGAAGGAAGAGGAGUAGGUGAAGGUGCUGGUUGAAGCCCAGGAGUUUCAAUUUGGGCUUGAACAGCUACAGCCAAUAGAAGAGAGCAGGCAAAACUGAUGGCGAUAAUGGUCAAAAGAUUAUUGUGAAGAGCCAUUUUCUUGAUUAUCUCUUAUAAACACUCUUUAUAUGCUUUUCUUUUUUUUUUUUUGUGUUUUACAGUGAUUUCUUAUGUGUUCCUUUCUUUCCCUUUAUAUAGCUAAGCAGG
rnacentral:lncRNA from 1 species